UCCUUGUAGUAUAACAAUUACCUUGGU
rnacentral:tRNA from 1 species